UCAAUAAUCCCCACUCAUCUGACCAAUUUCGUAACCAUUCAACUUCACGUUGGUGGCAGUUUAUCUGGGUGAGAACAGCUGCGCGUCAAUUCCUCAAGCCAGUCAAAACUAUCUAUGCAACUUCAGAGCAAAUUUAGUGAUUUUAUCUAACGUAAAAAAAAAAAAAUAUUUCAAAGAUUUAGGUGUUUGUUUAAGGCUUCAGAAUUUAUUUCUCAACUUUGUUUCAUUUGGAAUGAGUUUUUCUAAAUUAUUUACUAACUCACAGAGCUUUCAUUUAUUUAAGUGAUGUAGCAAAAUUUACUUAAACAGUGCAUUCCAAUAGUAUGUAGAAUGACGCGGUGACGUGAUGAACAACAAAAACAGCAACAACAACAACAAUACGCAUAUGCUGUUUACAUGCAAGAGAAUAAAAAUGAAUAAAAUGAAUAAAAAUGAAGAAAUCAACGAGCAGUCGGCAGUUUAUGUACAGACUUACUGCCUUAUCUGAAAGUAAAUGAAAAAUAUAUGCAUACAUACACAUAUGUACAUACAUACGUACGUGUAUUCGUGUGUAAGUGAAUAAAUAGCAGACAUUUUAGAUAAGCAGAACUGAAGAAAUGAAGUGUACACCUUUUCGAAAGAUACGCGUAUUUAAAAUGUAAGGGGAUCAAAUGCACUUUUUAAGUACUACCAGGGUUUUUCUGAAAGUGAAGUUAGGGGAAAGAAAAAAGCAGCUGAGGGAGUUGAUGAGAGGCCGAACGAAAUUGGUUAAAUUUUUAGGGGUGUAAUUACGGCCGGAUAUACAGCCAGUAGUUGGAGAAGGAAAGUAUCUAUAGAAGUGCAAUGAUAUGAAAUUUGAAAUAUUUAAGAAAAAUUAAAUGUAUGAUGUUAAACACAUAACACGCAUGAGAAAUACUUAUGAGUGAGCCUCUGCUGGGGGAUUGCAAUUGUAAUGGCGCCAUGUAAAUUUAGACAUUCGACACAGCUUCACAACUUAACAACGAGAUAAUGGAUAACUUUUCAACUUCCUGGCAAGCAGCAGGGAUGAAUGUGAAUUUCCUUUUCCUUAAUAGCCAAAGGGAAGGAGAGAGCCUCAUUUUUACAUACAUACACGUAGAUAUGUAUUCACUUAGUGGAAUGUUGCACUUGCGCUUUUGCGUCAUUAUUAUUGCUGGUAUCACGUAUAGAUAUGAACGGCCAUAUGCAUAUACAUGUAAGCGUAGUUGUGUUUAGUUGCGUCUUGUGAGAAAAGUCGACCUGAAAUACGGUAAAUAACUUUAUCAAACAUAUUAUCUUAUUUAUAAGCAUUAUCGUGCGGUGUGUUUUUUAACUUGUUGAUUAUUAUUAUUUUUUCUGUUUUUUUUCGUUUUUUUUGUAAGGUUUCCCUCUCCCUAUCUAUGAAAAUUUCAUUUAACACACAACACCAACGCCAGAAACACAGAAAUAUCCAUUAAAAUUUCAGAUAUCUUGCAGUUGUGGUUUUAGUUGAGAAAGUGUAGGAAUUGCAUUAAGUGUGUCGAAGGAAGCGUAUGGCCAGAGAUCGUUUCAUAAUUUACGCGUACAUCAAAAACAGAAAGCCGAGAAAUAUAUUAAAAUUUAUCUGCAAAUACAAUGCUAAAAUUAAGCAAAUACAAAAUUGUUAAAGAAAUAGUAAAUUUGUGUCGGAAUAAAUGUUUUCGUCUGACUUGUUUAGAGCUGCUUAUAAAUUCUGUGCUAAGAAGGCAGAUUUCAAAUAAAUGUGCGGGUAUACAAUUGCCACAAAAAACAAAAAAAAACAACAGGAACAACAAAAAAUUUAUGGUCUAUAAAUGUGUGAAAUGUUAAAUACAAGCAAGUGUGUGUAGAAAUGAAUGCACACAUACAUGCACAUGCGAAAAAUGUGUUUGUGCGCGCGUUGCUAUAUCAAAUGGCGUAAAGUGCUUUAUAGCCAACUAUAAAAUAAUUGUGCCUAUUUUUGUUAGCAUUUUACCUUUUUUAUAAUGACAUUUUCCGCAGUAUUUCGUAACUACCUAUGUAUGGGUGCACACAUAUUUAAGCUACACGCACAUACAUACAUAGGCAUACAAGUGACUAAACAUAUUAUAGAACAACAACAAAGUGUAUUAUAAUCAAAUAAUAAAGUCGUGUGAAAUAAGAAAAUAACGAAAAAUUAUUGCAAAUAAUUCACAGUUGACAAAAACGAAAAGCGCCUUAAUAAAAGAAAAAAAUACUCAAGCAGCAGCUCAAGUGAAAUAUAUUUAUAUGAAAGCUCACGAAUGUGACGUUUGCGCUAUCGCUUCGUUUAAGCGAACGCUGAGCACCAUUUUGAAAAAUAAAAUAAAGAUGGUUGCGAUAAGGUAAAAUAAAUAAUAAUGAAUAUUAAGAAAGCAAAAAAAAAUUCCAUAAGAACGAAAGGAGUCAGCAAAUUACGCAGGCUGAGGGCAACAAAAAAUUCAACAACAAAUUUAAGUAUGGCCACCAUAGUACGUCAACUGCGAUUUAUAGGUGCAUACACACACACGCAUAUGCCCACAGUGCCACCUUUGCUGUACGCCAUAACUGUUGCAGUGACAGCUCGUUAGCGAUGACAAUGUGACAGCGCUUGCCUAUCGCGCCCAACCAACGCCCUUCAGCCAGCCAACAGCCACUUGAUACACACCAGCACGCACACCAAUGAAGCUACCGUUUUUAGCUUGUCCAACAGAACACCACUUCAAACGGUAACUAACCCCAAAUGCGCGAGUGCAAUUGUAAGCUCUGCAAAUACUCGUACUUUGUUAGCUGGGCGGUUGGUUGGUGCGUCGCUUGUCGGGUGUGCUAGCAACUCCCUUCUCCUCCAUACGCCAUGGCGCGUUGCUUAAGUGCCGCAAUAAUUGAAAGAGUUUAUUGCUGUCACAAAACACUAACGGUCUUAUUGUAUUUUGGAAUUAUGACAGUCGCUUUGCAAAUGGUUGACUAAAUUUAAUGAUGUCGUUGUGGUGGAAAAAAAAUGUCAAGUGAAGCUCGCUUACUCGGUUUUCACCACAGUCUCACGUUCGUACUUGCGUUCGAAUUCGUGCAACUCGAAUAGACUUGGUUGGUGAUGUUGAUGCAAGUCUUGGUGGUGUUGCAUGUGCAGUGCAAUUGAUUGUGUAUUACCUUGUUGUUGUUGUUGUUGAAGCUCAAACAGCAUUUCAUCCUCCUCUAACGAUGGACUGCGGCUGAGUGCCACAUCCUGUUGCAGCAAAUGUGAAUGCUGGUGUUGAUGCUGCCGGUGAUGUUGCUGCAGUUGCUCGAUUUUAAUGGAAUCUUCAUGUAUCGGCACCAAUUCGCCGAAGUUCGAGUGCGCUGGCGACACCGAACCGGCUGGACUUUGUGGAUCAAGGUGUUGUUGUUUCUGUAUUUGCUGCUGCUGCUGCUGCAGGUAAUGCUGAUGAUAGUGCAGAGAGUUGCAAAGAUUAGAUAAAUGUGUCGGUUGUUGUCCAUGUUGCAACUGAUGUUGGUGUGUCAAUUGUUGAAAUAUCUGUUGCUGCGUCGAUUGAUGGUGAUGCUGUUGCUGUUGCUGUUGGUGUUGUUGCAGUGUUGUCGUCGGUGUGGAUGGUGUGACCGGUGUUGGGGGCAUUGAUACCGAUGCUGAGGGGGAAGAGUGUGGCGGCAUCAGAUGCAUAAGUUGCUGUGCCAUUAAUUGAUGUUGUUGGUGCUGCUGCUGCUGUUGACUCGGUGAGGAUGACGCGAGCUGUUGCUGUGUCUGCAUUUGUUGCUGUUUGAGUUAGUUGAGAUGAUGAAUUCAGUACAGUUGAUGAGUAAUACCACCGAAAGGAACACAGAAACACAGAUACAGUGAGAAAGCGAGAUAGAGCGAUGAACGAUGGACGAUGAAGCGCGCGUGUGAAAGAGAGGAAGAAGCAAAGGAGACAAAACAAAACAAUUAAUUUCGCAUGCUUCGGGCAAAGAGAAUAAUUUAUAAAACAAAAAAACAUAAUAAUAAUAAUUAUUAUAAAUCAUUCGAAAACUUACCAUUGUUGGUAUUUGUGGAUGGAUUGGAGUUUGCAUGUAAUUUGUUGAUUUUGCUGGGCUUUUCGCUUUUAGUGCCCUUCGCUUUACGCUUGCGAGUCUGAAACGGAGAAGAACGAUUAAUUUGAGGUUAAAAUUUUAUUUGGCUAAUAAUGUAUUAUAUAAUUAAUUGAAUUUUUUUUUCGAAACUUAGUUACGAAAAUUUUGUGGCAUACAAAUUUUUUAGUUUUGUUAGCAACCAGUAACAGUCAAAGUCAAAGCAACAAUCGUCGACGAGUUGGUCUAGAGAACGUAGCGGACCGUGGCAAACAUCAAAUAAUAGUAAAAUAGGAACAACCAUAGGCAGCACUAGAGCCGCGAAGGAGCUUUCUUUAACCCAGAUAACUCGACGAGCUUAUUAGUGCGAAGGUUUACUUCGUUUGCAGAAGAUGCCAAGCUGGUCACUCAUUAGAGCCAGAGAAUGUUAAUGAGAAGGCGCAAAUGUUACUGAUGCAUUUAUGGCACACAGCUCAUAUAGGCGGCUAUGCAGCGAAUAUCGUAGUCAGCGCAUUGUAUUUAUUAACACUCUAAUGAAAAUUACAUGCAUAUAUGUAUGUAUAUAUGUAAUAUGAUAAAUGAAUGUUCCUAAAAUUCCUUAUUUUAUAUUUUCGCCAUUUUAAUAUACUACAAAUUGCAAUGUAAAAACCUACUUGUAUGGUGUCCUUCUUCAUGGUCAAUGGACGUUUCACGCUAUGCAAUUUGAAGUAGAGUCCGCAAGCAUUGCAGACGGGUUCACCGUUGGGGUUGCGACGCCACAAAGAAGUAUGCGUUGUGAGGCAAUUUGAGCAGGAGAGACCGACACGACGGGAAGCACUCUAAAUAUGGAAAAAAUUAAUCGAAACAGAUUUCAUCAACAAAUGAAGCGAGAACGUUCACGCAACAACAACUAUGUACAACGACAACGAUGGUGAUGGUGAAUGGCGACGGAGGCAAAAGCGGAGGCGGAUUUCUAUAAGAUUUAUUUAAUUCUGUUUUUUUUUUUUAUGUACAAGAAAAAAGCAAAUAUAUGAACUUUAAUUUUGCUUCACAAGUUUUUGCACACUUUCUCAGAGUUUGAAAUAUAUUUCUAUCAACAUCUA